ensembl:lncRNA
UUUGGUAACAAUUUGACAAUAUCAGAGGCAGGAUAAUGCUAGCUUUGCUAAUGUGUAGUCUCAAGCAGCACUGAUGCCAUCAGUGCAUCUGAAAUAAGAAUGUCAUCUGUGGUGAGAAUUAUGGAAGGAUUAAGUGAUCAGUCUCCUGGUAGUAAUCUGUUGAGAUGUUUCAAUUUUAUGAUGAAGUCCACUUCUAUUUUACUUCUUUUUUGCUGUCCUUGCAAUCCCCAGCCCUAGCUCUGUGGCUAAACCAGAAGGACUUCUCUAGACUAGGAGAAGAAGGUAUGGAUGUAUCGUUGGGCUCAGAGAGAGAUCCUUGACAAAGGUAGGUACUGCAAGGCUCACUCAGCAAAUUGCCAGAGAGAGACAGGAAUUGCUAAGAGCCUAGACAAAAAGACUGGGAGAGAUAGGGAGAGACAUCUUCUGGAAGCAGCAAAUAUUUGUGUUUGUGGAGCAGGAGAUUCUGCAGAAGUGAAGGGAGAGGACCUAUUCUCUUAUUCCUUUUUGUUGGUUAAACUGGGAAGUGAGAACACUGUCAUGUUCUCUGUAGUAUGUUUUGUGGCUGCCUCCUCGAGCCUGUAUCCACAUAAUCCAAAUGCAAGUGUGAACUGUGUGAAACUUGCCUCUGUAGUGAGCCUUCACAUUUUUGUAUUGAUAGCAUUUUACUGGAAAGGUGCAGUUAUAGAUGCUGUUAUGUUAACCAAAUGCAAAAAUAAUGUUUAACCUAUGGUUAGUUUUUGCAUAUAAAUAAAUGUUGUACAAUAUAUUCUAUUUAAUAAGCAAGAUUCUGCUAUCUAUAAGAUGAUGGUCUUCUCUUGGUAGGUUCUUAAAGGAUGUUUUUGUCAUUAUCAAAAAUGUUAGUCUUUCUCUGUGCCGUGCACUGGGAGGCAGCAAAAGGUGAACAGCACAGAAAAUGAACACAGUGUUCUGAAAGGUAAGGAAGGGAAAACAGUCAUCUAAUAUACUACCCUUCCAUCAGUUUGUUACCUCUGAAUUUCCCGAAUCUUAGUCUAUGGAGUUUCCUCACAUUAUUCUGGCUGUAAAUUAUUUAUAUACAUUUCCCCAUCUUUUAUUGCACUCAGUUUCUCAGCUUCCUGUGGGACAUCACUAGCUUCCAGCAAUGUGCUGAGGCACCACCUCUAGAAUCUGCCAGAAAGGAGAGGAGAUGGAGCUAACAAAGUGAGACUCUGGGAUUUGUGCUAGAAUGGAUCGUCAUAGAUGAAUAACUAACAGCAUUUUCUCUCAUUUCUGAAAAAGCUCUGUAGUUUUGUUGGCAUAAUUCAUUAACCAGCAUUUUUGCACUUCAUUAUUAAAGGUAAAUCUUUCUCCUGUUUUCAUCAAUCUCAAUGAAGAAAUCUGCCAUUCAUUCCCGUUAGAAGGCUGUUUCUCAGAGCAUCUCUGCUGGUAUUUUAUUCCAUUCAGUUUAAAAUACCCCGGAGAAGGAAUAUUUCUCUGAAGGGAUGUGGGAGUGAGGAUACAGCCCAGGCCAUCCUGUGGUCAGAUAUUAAUGAAGAUAGCUCUAUUUUCUUUGCAUCCUAUUAUCGCUGGGUCUGUACAGCUCUUAAUUCUUCUUCCUACUCUGUGUUUCACCUUUCAGACGACUACAGACAUGUAAUUACGCCAAACUUUGGCCAAAAUCAGGUUGUACAAUAUAUUUGUCAAUGAGUAGAGCCAAGUGAACCUCCAUAGGAACUGUAGCAUGCCCAAAUGCUGCAUGGAUCCCACGGUUCUCUGUGGUAUGCUUUGGCAGUGGUAAGUACAAGCAAGGUUUUUCCGUUCCCCUGCCUGUGUACCACUGAAAACUCCCAUUCAAUAGCUCUACAUGUUUCUCAUAGUGCUAUUUGUAUUACUGUUUUUCACUUUUCUGCAACCACAAUGAAAAGCGUUCUCAUAAUUUACUGUAUAAAAUCCAUUUAUGGUGGCAAAAAGUCUGCUUGGGUUCCACAGUUUCUGGAGAUCUCCAUUUUUAAAGUGAGCUAACUAAUGCUAAAUGCUGUCUGAUGACUAAGAAGAUAUAAAAUGUCAUUGAUGGGACUGGAAAGUCUUCUACAGUUCUUAGAACAGUCAAGAUUUAGUUCCUCCUCUGCAAGACAUAUAUCUAGAGGCAGACAGAGAUGAGUAAUCACAUGGUAGUGCUCACGAAUGGCUAUCAAAUGGAAAUUGUUCUUCUUGUGGACUUCUUCAAGCCCACAGCUGCAUUCUUCACUGCUGUGGGACAUCUGAAGUCAAGUGUCGAAUUUGCUGUGGCUGACUUGCAAUCAGACUUACUGACUAGGGUAGGCUGACUUUCAGAAAGUGUAAAAGACAGAACAGCAACUGUGGAAAUAAAAAGAAUGUUUUUUCAUUGCUGGCAGCUUCUUUGCUCUGACCUUUUGACAUCAUUCCAAGGUCAGUUAAAUGCUUCAGAGGAACUGGAGUGAUUAUAAAUCAACUUCGUCAUCAUCCAUAAGGUGGAUGGAGAACAUUUCAUAAAAGUGAAAAAAGGUUUCCAGGGAGAUCUUCUUGGUGAGUGACUUGUCUGAUUGUCAGUUCAUGGACCUUUUCAUGGGAUAAUUUACUGGUUUGUUCAAGUGUUCUUGCACAGACUCAGUGCCCCAGGAUGUUCCUCUUUUGGCACAGUGGUGUCAUGUCAGCCAUGAAGGCGCUCAGCUGGAGUCAUCCUCCUUUGGUUACCCAUCCUCUGGCCCAGUGCAUCAUUUGUUAAGUACUUUUCUCACUCCAGAUUAGAGAAGUCAUUAUAAGGGGAAAGUACUUUUUUACUGUGGUUGAUAAGGGAAGGAAAAAGCAACAAAAACAGAUGAGCCCUAAAUGAAGAUGAUCGUGUUGACUAUAUGAACUAUCUUUGAAGAUUUCUAAACAAUCAGAAACUUGAGUUUGUUUUCAGCAUAUGCUCCCAGGGGAAGGUCAUCUGAUUCAUAUCCGUCAAAUGUUGAAGGGAUGAGUCACAGUCAAACAAAUCACACUUUUCUAACUUGUCUUUACACAUACGGGAAGGAAUAAUCUCUCUUCAUUUAAAAAGAAUUUUCUUUUUUUUCUUGGUAGACAACACUCAAUAACUUAGCCCCAUGUUAUCUGUUUUCCUUGAAUUAUGAAUAUUUAUUCCCCUCCAUAUCCAUAAAUAAUACAUAAUCUACAUAAUCCUCAUUUUUUUUCUCUUAUGACCUUUAUACACAUCCUAUACAUUAAAUUAAACUCCCUCAUAGCUAUGAAAAGCUCUGAUUUCCAAUUGAAACUUAAUUCAACACCUACAAAGAAACUUGUCUUCAAAUAACUAAUACUAGAUGAUAUAUUCCUUACCAGCAGGCAGCUAACACUGAACAUGAGCAGAAAUAUGCUACUAAAAAAAAAUCUGUUUAUGUCACAGAGUUAAGAUGUGAUAAAAUGUGUAUGUUCCUGUUCCCUCUCUUACUAAUCCCAUUAAUAUAGAGGUGUGAAUAGUGCCCACUGUGUGCAAUACCCCUGACAGGAGACAGUGCAGAUGCAGCACCUACCUUUUUGCUCCAGAAAGCACUCAAAAGAAGACACGAUUGCCCUUUGGCACCUUCAGAGGCUGUUCCAGGAUGCAUCAUCCCCUAGUUCUAAGCUUCCGUGUCUCUAGAAAACUGGAUGACCCUAGAGAGGAAUUCCAAACUCUUCCCAACUCCUCCAAUUUUGAAAGGCCGUUUUCCAAGACAAAAAUUUGUUGAAAAGCGAUGUGUUUAAGAUAGGGGUGUAACUUCUAAUAAUAUGAAAAUACAGAAGAAAAAAAAGUGCUUGAAUAUGGAUUUGACCAUGGGACAUUGGAAAUGCAAAAGAAUUUUAGACUUUUUAAUGCAAAUAAGCAAGUUGCAUCAUUCCAAGUUCAUUCAGAGGCAUAUGUUGAAACAACACAAAGCAAUGUAAAUAAGCAGUCCAAAUCACUUGUCAGACGGCUUUACAACAAUGGAUGACUUUCCUUAGUGCCUUAGUGCUGCUCUAUCUGCAAGGAAUCUUCCUGGAGCACCUCUUGAGAGCUGCCACAAUAUCAAGUUAAUUCAUGUUGAUGGCCACUGCCUAUUAGUCACUACUUUGAGAAGGAACAACAGCGACAGGAUACUUGAAAAGAAAUACUGCAGCUGAUGCUUUGCAUUAUGAAAAAUGCCGACAUCUGAUCCAUUUUGAUAUCCUUGAAUAUCUGAUCUUUGGAAAAAUUACAUGUGGAGUUCAGGACAUUGGGCAUUUGCUCCCUGAGCGAUGGAGUCCAGAACCUGUUUAAGGGUCCCAGCAGCCCACCUCUAUUUCAUAGUAGACAACCCCUUGAGUGACAAAAACCUUUUAAAGGGGAAAAAUAACAUGAACAACUCCUUCUAACAUGGUUGGAAUUGAGACCACCUAAGUUUUUGCUCUAAGCUGUUCCUGUACAAUCUGUUUCCCAGGUAAUCUUCAUGUUUAUUUAAGAGAAAGAGAUCAUCCCGCUCUUUCACAGAAGCUCUCUCUUAGCCUUUUGAGGAUGCUCCAGGCUAAUGUAUGGAGCCUAGAGGGUGUAAUUCAUAGUUUGAAACCUAUUAUACUCAUGCCUUAUCUUCUAGUGAUUGCUCUGAGCAUCAAGAAUUGUAAGAAAGGAAGGAAGGGCCCCCCAUCUCCUUCUCAGCUUGUGCUGCUCAGCUCCACACAGAAGAGCGUAUUUCUGCAGAAAGGCAGAAGCAGAGCUGUGAGUCACAAAUGAGUCAAAAGGACAAAAGCUUAGUGGGCAAAGACUGGCAUUUUUAUUAUAUAAAAUCAGACUUUUGAGAACUGUCUUUUUAAGCUUAGCAUCCUCCACAAUUCUUAAGUGGGAUUAAGAUGUCCAAAACAAGAUCUCUUCUUCUUUUAAUUACUAUCUACUGACAUUAUUACAGAGUUUACUAUUUGUGUAUGAGUUAAGCACAAGGUGAGGAAUUAUCCUAAGCAACAAUUUUUCCUUGCUUACCAAAGCUUGCAAUGGAGAGCAGAUUGCCUAUCCCUGUAACGGAUGUACAUGUGUAAGAGAUUUUUAAAUGGCAAAUAACUAGCAGAGCCUUUAUUAUUAAUAUCAAAACAUCAUUUUUUCUUGUACUCUUUUUUCCAGAUGAGUUUUCUGUUUGAAUUCAUUGAAACUUUUUCAUGUAGUUUAUUAGAACCAGUAUAUUGUAUUAAUUUCCCUAAAAAUUCUUCACUUACAAAGCAGCUGAAUAAAUUUUAUAGUGGAAUAAGGUGUGAAGAUGAAUUACUGCCCAUGCAUGUGAACACCACUGAUCAGGAGGUGACACUUUACUGUAGUAGCUCAAUAGAGAGAUAUCAAGGAACAUAUAAGGGUUAAUUUAGCAAGAUCCCCUGAAACAGUGUAGAAAAAAAAUGUUUCAGUAGGUAAAAAUUCAGAAUGCUGUCUUUAUACAUUCAACAGUCUGCUAAAUUAAAAAUAGUUAAAACUCAUUUUUGUGCCACGAUUACACUAAAAUCUGAGAAGACCAGUAAGGGAGGAAAGUAUCUUCCAGGAGAUCAGAGCACUUUCAUGGAAUUUUGGACUUCAGAGAUUCUGCAGGUUUCAAAUAUAAAUAUAUGCAGUUUUAAAAUGUUAGAAACAAGUGAGUCAUCCUUAUCUCUCAGGGGAGUAGUUACUUAGGUUGGUAGCAUGGGAGGGUUAAGGGAAGGAAAAGAGGAAGACAGUUGUAAUAAUCUUGAGUAAUAGUAGACAAACCUGUCCCUGUUCCUUUUCUCUCUCUCCCAUCCUCUCUCGAUUAGCACAAGAGCUAUAGAAAUGUCAUUUCAACAUGUUACAUCCAUUCAUAUGAUCAAAAUGAAUUUAUUUUAGAACCCAAUUUUUGCAUAAAUGCUUAUAUGUGUGGUCAGAGAUAUAGAAGUCAGCAAAGAGCAUCACAUUAUUUAAGUAAGAUACUUUCAGCUAAGUAAGCUGAGCUGGUCAUGCAUGACAUUGAGUGCUGCUGAGAAGGUCCUCAGCAAACUCUCUUGCUCCUUUCCUCCCUACAGACGUGCAAAAAGUUCUCCGUACUUUAUACAUUCAUGUUGGUAAGGAUGUCUUCAAGCCACUGUAAACUAAGCAGCAAUGACAUUAGAUUCUAAUUAAGAUCUUUUGGCUUUCACAUUGAUAAUGAGCUGUAGGCACUUCUUUGUUGCUCUUGUUAUUUUUGUAAAGCUGUUUGGGAGCUCCCUUAGAGAAUCUCCCCCAAGAAAAAAUAUUGUUUUGCUUCCACUCUCUGCACAUCAGUUGUCAAAUUCAAAGAUGCCUGCCAACACAGCUCAGCCUUUUGUAGUCAGAAAUUCAUUUUCAAACAAUGCUUUCCAAUUCCUAGGUAAUCUGGUGUGUGUUAUUUAAACAUCUAAUACAUGUAAUUUCACAAGGAUCAACAUAGCCAAGUACACAGAAGCCUAGAACUGGCAUGUCAAACAAAACAUUUUCUGUUAGAAGUGAAUAUGAUUUCACUGUGAUUGAAUAAUCAGUGUUUUGAAUGUUAGUGUCUGAAGUUUUACAAUGUAUUUCAAAGCCUAAUUUAAAAAGCACAUACUAACACUUCCCGAUUAUGUCUGUAGAGCAGCUGUUUUGUGUGAUUUAAUGGUGAGUGUAAAAACCUAGCUCCGUUUAAGCCAGCUGCACGAAUCUCUGGAGUUUCUUUGGUUUGGCAGUUUCCCACCUUCUCCUUCAGGAUACAACCUUCUCCUUCACAAUGGGACUUUCAUCGCCAUCAAUUCCAAUCUCUAAUUAUGUUUCAAUCUUGCAAUGACGUGCCUAUAAAGAGUCUCUUGACAUUUUUUUCUUGGUUAACUUGGGCCAAGAUCACAUGGACAUGAUGUGGCCUGCUGAUUCUCAUGAUUUCAGUAAGAUCCAGCUGUCUUUCAGGAAAACCUCCUUCAAAAGAUCAUGACAGAGCUGGCUGGUGAACUGGUCAUCUUCUUUUACAGUAGCUGCAAGUGCAACAAUACGAUAUGCCACAGGAAAUCUCCAGCAAUGACAUGGGUGACCAGCUAGAGCUCAGUGCAUGUUUCUGAAGGUUUCAGCUUACUGAGUUCAACUUGUGGUAGUCACAUCUGCUACACCAUAGGUAUUUGUUUUUUUGAGGAAUCUGUUCGCUGCCACUGCAGGUCAGUAAAGAUUCACGGCCUUUCAUGUGGGCCUGGAAAAUCUGCUGGAUUGACAGUGAGAGCACAGGAGGAAAAUAAUAGCAUGUCCCAUGGGCAUCAGAUUCCAGCUGUGUCAGGAAAAGUCCUUUCCAUGUUGCUGCAUUUGGGAUGCACCUCUGUCCCAAGAGGGGCAAAUAUGGUCUCCAUAUUCAUGAAGCAGGAGUGGACACAAACGUUUGGCCAAUGCUUUUGACAGCAUAAUAGGGGGGAGGGAUAGGCUGUAUUUUUUCAUAAUUUUCUUUUGUUUGUUUACUAUGUUAUUAUUCAUGCCUCACUCUGGGAGAAGCAACAGAAAACUUUGCUUAAGUAAGAGAGGCUUGUUAAAGUAACCAUCAUCUGAUGCUAACAAUCUUGACAGGAACCUGUUUUUUGCAAGUGAUCCUAGCUAGGAAAUGUGAUUGUGAAGAUGUCAUGAUUCAGACUUCAGCUGAAUUUCUUAGGUUGUUGUCAGCCUAGUUGUAGGUCAUUUUACAAUACAGAGCAAGGUAGAUAUUAAUGUCUGUGGUCAACAGUCUACUUAUAAUAGACAAAGUGUUACAUGAUAGUUUCAUGGAAAGAUUGAUGCUUCUGUCCCUGAGAUGUUGCUGACUCAUCUGUGGCAUCUAAUGGAUGCACUUCCCUGAAUUUAUUCCCGCUUCCAGUUCCAUAAAUACAGCAAAAAUAAAAGAUACCUCUUAGGAAACAUCCUGUCUUCAUCAUAGUAACACUUACUCCCAUGGUUAAUUACUCUUACUGUUAAGCAUUUGCAUCUUAUUUCUAGCCUAGAUGUGUCUAGCAUGAGAUUCCAGUUAUAGCUUACCAUCAGAUUGAUAUUUUCUUCAAAAAGCUAUUUUCAAUUGAGAGGGCUUGAAAUUAACCAAGCUUCUUUCAGUAAGAUGAUCAAGAUAACAAUAUCAUUCUUUUCAAUGAAACAGUUUUUCACCAUUCAGCAAAAGUCUCUUUUCACAGUAAGGGAACAUUCUGAAAUAAUUAAAAGAUUUUUGUGAUUUAGUUUUUAAAAUAGUACUAAUGCUUUAGCUUUGAUGUUCCAAAGAUACGAGGGAGACAAGGUCUGCAUUGUAUGGUCAUAUAUUUU